rnacentral:pre_miRNA from 1 species
UCUUAUGGAUGAGCAAAGAAAAGUGGUUCCUUGAGAUUGAAUCUACUCCUGGUUAAGAUACUGUGAA